GAUGAACGCUGACAGAAUGCUUAACACAUGCAAGUCUUUGGCGAAGCUGUGCUUGCACAGCCUAGCCAAGGCGGACGGGUGAGUAACGCGUAAGGAACUUGCCCUGCAGUCAGGGAUAACAGACGGAAACGACUGAUAAGACCUGGUAAAGUCAGGCGGACUCAUGUCCAGCCUGAUGAAAAGAGAUGCUGCAGGAGAGCCUUGCGUCCUAUUAGCUUGUUGGUGGGGUAACGGCCCACCAAGGCGAUGAUAGGUAGCCGGCCUGAGAGGGUGGACGGCCACAAGGGGACUGAGAUACGGCCCUUACUCCUACGGGAGGCAGCAGUGGGGAAUAUCGGACAAUGGGGGCAACCCUGAUCCAGCAAUUCUGUGUGCACGAUGAAGGUUUUCGGAUUGUAAAGUGCUUGCAGCAGGGAAGAAAAAAUGACGGUACCUGCAGAAGAAGCGACGGCUAAAUACGUG
rnacentral:rRNA from 1 species